GUUGGACUUAAAUGGAUUUUCCGACCUUGUCUUUAUUUCCAAUCGAAGAGACGUGGCGAUUGUGGCAGAAAUUUCUGGAUGACUAUUCACGUUUUGAAGAUUGGCUGAAGUCUUCAGAAAGGACAGCUGCUUUUCCCAGCUCUUCUGGGGUGAUCUAUACAGUUGCCAAGGAAGAACUAAAGAAAUUUGAGGCUUUCCAGCGACAGGUCCACGAGUGCCUGACGCAGCUGGAACUGAUCAACAAGCAGUACCGCCGCCUGGCCAGGGAGAACCGCACUGAUUCAGCGUGUAGCCUCAAACAGAUGGUUCACGAAGGCAACCAGAGAUGGGACAACCUGCAAAAGCGUGUCACCUCCAUCUUGCGCAGACUCAAGCAUUUUAUUGGCCAGCGUGAGGAGUUUGAGACUGCGCGGGACAGCAUUCUGGUCUGGCUCACAGAGAUGGAUCUGCAGCUCACUAAUAUUGAACAUUUUUCUGAGUGUGAUGUUCAAGCUAAAAUAAAGCAACUCAAGGCCUUCCAGCAGGAAAUUUCACUGAACCACAAUAAGAUUGAGCAGAUAAUUGCCCAAGGAGAACAGCUGA
rnacentral:sRNA from 1 species